UCUGGGAGGGGCGGGCGCAAGGCCCGACGGGAAGUGUAGUUCCGGGGGGGGCGGUGAGAGCGGGGCCGCGCCGGGGGAGGUUUCUUCUCAGACGGCGGCUGGGCUUUGCUGCGGGAGGGGGCUGCGAGGAGGGGUGUUUACCGAGGCGCCGCGGCCUGCUCCUUCAGCGGCAGCAGCACCUCGGCUGCCGCGGGAAGGCGCCCUGGCCCCGCCGGGCCUGCCCCGCCGCCCGUCUGCAGCACCCGGGCUGUGCCUCCCUCAGCUCUGGCAGCAGGAUACGCGGUCUUUCUCUAACUCUGGCAGCAGAUGCUACCAGAUCACCAGUGAUGACUAAGAAUUUUGCUUCUUUAUUGCUGAAAGGGGCUGAAGCAUUUAGAUGUGAGGCAGCUGAUCCGGCCAAACCCCACUAUAUCUGUUAGUCAAUAUAACAGCAAAAGCGGCCUCCAUGGGAGAAAAUGGUGGAUGGUGUAGCAAGUUACUGGGGCUCGAAAGGAGCCCAUGGCCACUAAGAGUCUCAGCAGUGAACUGAUGUGGUAUGUAUUUCUUUCUCUCGAUGAACUGUGAUUUAUUAAAGCCUCACCACAGGAACGUUCCUGUGAAUAAACUUUUCACCUCAGAAUUCUUAAUAAAUUGG
rnacentral:lncRNA from 1 species